AGGGAUUGAUCCUGGCUCAGGAUAAGCGUUGGCGGUGUGCUUUAUGCAUGCAAGUCGUACGAGGCUAUAGUUUUCGGAUUAUAGUUUAGUGGCAAAUGGCUGAGUAAUACAUAGGUAACCUGCCUGUGAGUGGUGGAUAACUUGCUGAAAGGCAAGCUAAUACAGCAUGUGGUGAACAAGGAUUUCUUGUUUAUCAAAGCCUUCGGGCGCUCGCAGAGGGGCCUAUGCCUGAUUAGCUAGUUGGUGAGGUAACGGCUCACCAAGGCUUUGAUCAGUAGCUGGUCUGAGAGGAUGGUCAGCCAGAUGGGGACUGAGAUACGGCCCCAACUCCUACGGGAGGCAGCAGCAAGGAAUAUUGGGCAAUGGGCGAAAGCCUGACCCAGCGACACCGCGUGAGGGAUUAAGGCCUUCGGGUUGUAAACCUCUUUUCUCGAGGAAGAAGCUCUGACGGUACUCGAGGAAUAAGCCACGGCUAACUACGUGCCAGCAGCCGCGGUAAUACGUAGGUGGCAAACGUUGUCCGGAUUUAUUGGGCGUAAAGAGAGUGUAGGCGGCUUAUUAAGUCAAGUGUUAAAUCUUCUGACUCAAUCAGGAGCUGCAUUUGAUACUGGUAGGCUUGAGUGCAGCAGAGGAAAACGGAAUUCCCAGUGUAGCGGUGAAAUGCGUUGAUAUUGGGAAGAACACCAGAGGCGAAGGCGGUUUUCCAGGCUGUGUCUGACGCUGAGACUCGAAAGCGUGGGGAGCGAAGCGGAUUAGAUACCCGCGUAGUCCACGCCUUAAACGGUGGACAUUAGGUAUGGGAAGUAUCGACCUUUUCUGUGCCGUAGCUAACGCUUUAAAUGUCCCGCCUGGGGAGUACGGUCGCAAGGCUAAAACUCAAAGGAAUUGACGGGGGUCCGCACAAGCAGCGGAGCGUGUGGUUUAAUUCGAUGAUACACGAAGAACCUUACCAGGGUUUGACAUGUCAGAAGUAGGAAGCCGAAAGGUUUACGACCUGUAUCCAAUCAGGAACUGUCACAGGUGCUGCAUGGCUGUCGUCAGCUCGUGCCGUGAGGUGUUGGGUUAAGUCCCGCAACGAGCGCAACCCUUGUUCUAUGUUAAUUUCUCAUAGAAGACUGCCUUGUACAGCAAGGAGGAAGAGGAGGAUGACGUCAAGUCAGCAUGGCCUUUAUGCCCUGGGCUACACACGCUACAAUGGGUAAUACAGAGGGUUGCCAAAGAGCGAUCUGGAGCUAAUCCCUUAAAAUUAUCCUCAGUUCAGAUUGUAGGCUGAAACCGCCUGCAUGAAGUCGGAGUUGCUAGUAAUCGCAGGUCAGCUAUACUGCGGUGAAUACGUUCUCGGACCUUGUACACACCGCCCGUCACGUCGUGGAAGUUGGAAACACCUGAAGCCAAUGUGUUAACUUGCUUAGGUAAGAAAUAGUUGUUGAAGGUGGACCUGAUAACUGUGGCGAAGUCGUAACAAGGC
rnacentral:rRNA from 1 species